rnacentral:lncRNA from 1 species
UUAAAUUACAGAUUGGUAAUGGGUUUUUUAAUGCGUCUGAUUGUGCAGUAGGGUUUUGCUUUGGGGAGGUGGCACGGACAGGCUGCGUGAUUGGCGGUGAGUUUGGGUUUAUUGCAAGGGAAAUUGGGCGGUGGCCUUUGACUCUUGAACGUGAAGCUUUUUAUUAUCAUUUUCAUGAUUUUUAUAUUCAAGGAAAGAAAAGAAAUUUAUGAUUUUUCUUGAAUUUAUUUGAGAUUCUGAUUUCAUAAUGAAUAUGCUGAAAUUUUCCAACUGGAUUCAUCAUUUCUUAUUGAUGAAGUAGACCUACUGAAUUAAUGGGACUCUUUCUUUUUUCUUUUUUUUUCCGCAAGUUUCUGCUAAUCUUGUCUGGUGGAGUGAGUUCUAGCAGAUGAGGAAUUAAAAUAUAUUUAACCACUAAAAAAUUUAAUAACUUUAUAAAUGAAAAACUAAAUGCAUAAAAUUGAAAUAAUUUUAUUUCCACCAAUAAUUUUCCUUUUGUACAUUAGGUCAACCAGAAUGUAAAAUAAUGAUCUUGAUCUAGCAUACACAUCUCUUGUAUUUUAUGCUUCAGCAUUUACAAUUACAUAUUUGCAUGUAUAAAAUUUUUCUAAUUUUCUUGCCUUAUCUGCAUGGUUAUUUCAUUGCUGGGGGAAUGAUUUCUUUCUGGAAGCCUGUUUAAUUGUUAACCUUGCCACUGCUUCUGGGGAAAGGAAUUGCUUCUCUAACAUCAGGGAUUCCAGUAGCAAACAGAACCAUAAGAUCAAAUCCAAGAGUAAAACCAGAGUGCUUGACUGUGCCGUGCCGGCGAAGAUCUAAGUACCAUUCAUAUUGAUCUCUGGCCAACCCUAGUCCAUUUAUCCUUCAAACAAGUUCGGUUAACAAAAUUCAGGAAUCAGUUCUUAUUUUGCUAAGAAAUCAUGAAGAUGAUUAUGAACUUAAUGUUGAAUUGCCAUUACUCUGAGCAGUAAAUGAAGUUUAGAUGAGAUAAGUCACUGUUAAGAAUUGAAAAUCAUUGUAAACAAAAGACAAGCGCUAUGUAGAAAUCAGCAGAACUAUGUAGUUUUUACCUUUCAUUUAGCAAAUUGAAGCGUUCCUCCUUUUGGCUACCUGUGAUUAAUGUUCCACCCUGAAAAAAUGCCAUCCAGUAUUAUGAAGUUCUUUUAUAUUAGGAUUUGGAAGGAGUGGAAAAAUCUGCACAUCUUCAAAGAAACUAUGAUCUUACCCUGGGUAUAAUCAUAUCAAAUGCUGCAACUGUUUUUCCAUCCUCAUUCAGUCGCACGUAAAAUGGUUUAAAUUCUUUUGGGAAGUUGUAUAUAAUUACAGGCUUCUUAUAGAUUUCAUCAACCAAAUAACUGUCAAUGCAUGAACGUAUUGUAAGUAACUACAAAAAAGAAAAGCUGCAGUUCCCAUGUUUUAAGAAAUCUGCAUACAUAUAAAAUAACAACAUAGGAUAAAUACCUUAGAUGUUGAGAUGUUAAUCCAUUGUCCCAUUCAGGUUGAGUUUCAAAUUUUCUAUCAGCAACCUAGUUGUCAGAACAGAAGACCUUUAUUUAGAAAACUUGCUAGGGGUUAAUAUGCAUGUUAGUAAUGUAAAAGAAUUGUAAUUUACCUUUUUCAAGAUAUUCACUGCUUCCCCAUAAGUGAUUCUUUCAUAUGACGAUGAUUUCAUUGCUUCAAGAAGAUUGAUUCUGGUUUUGUCAAUUCGUUUUGAAACAAAUUUCAUGUCUGCUGAACAAUUCUCCAAAACCCAUUUGCAGAGGAAUUUGAAAUAGUCUUCUGCACAGUUCAUGGCAUCCUAGGAAACCCACAACAUACAGAAAUUUUUAUUUUUUUUAAAAAAAAAACCUUCAUCUCUAUUUCAGAUAUUCCUGUUCAUAAAUCUCUCAAAAGUGCUAUAAGAUCAAAUGAAAAAUUACAGUGGUUCCCAAUGAACAAAGGACGCUAUCUAGUUAAUAGAAGUUGAGAAAAGUUAUGGAUCAGCUAGACAUCAUUCUGUAUAUGUCGAUAUCAGAAUUUAGAAAAAGAGUGAAGGAUUAUACAAAAGCUAAUUCCUAUAGUAUUCCUAGUGAUAGACAAAUAUUUGUAUAAAUAAACUCUUAUGCAAAUCUUGCUUUUGCCCAACCAAACUCGCUGAACCAGCACUAAUGACUUUCAGAUCAUAAUAACAGAAGGAACCAACCAGUGUUUGUCAUACCUCAAGCUCUGAAAAAGCCAUUUCAGCUUCGACCGCCCACAUCUCUGCCACCUGUUUUGCAGUUCCCUUUCUGUCUGCUCGGAACCU